rnacentral:lncRNA from 1 species
CAACAUAAUCUUUGCCUCUAAAAAUACUCAUAGCCUUAUGGAUAUCACAAUAAAUUAUAGUAUUUUUAGUUAAGUCAGACCCUUCAUUUUCAUACAGCCAUAUCUAAAAAAUACUGCCCUUGUGGAUAUCACAACAAAGCAACAUAUUUAAAAUAUAUCGUAAAGCAUCUAAUAUGCACCAAGAUAAACCCACAUCAAUCUCCAUAGCAAGUCUUGUGGAUAUCAUAAUAAACCUACUAUGAUUUUUAAUAGGAUAUAUACUAGGCAUGAAGGAAAGCAAAUGUAGUGUUCAAAAUACUGAGCUAUCAUCACUUAAGAUUUGAACUAAUCCAAUUGGCCAGAAAAGUAUUAAGAUUCAUGGGGGUCCCCCUGUUACUUUUCUUAGACACCAAUAAAAUUAGUUAGGCCAGCAACGGAACCAAUUAAAUAACCACCGUACUUGAAACACUCCUUAGAUACCAAAUGAUUAAUCGAUUUAAGAAAUAAGUCAACUACUGGUUUACAACACUAUGACUUAUUAUGAUUUUUAUGAAGACUUUAAUGGUCUCAAGUACAUUCUAAAUCA